AACCUCCGCAAUGUGAGAAAUCGCGACGGGGGGAUCCCAAGUGCCAUUCUUAACGGGAUGGCUUUUCUUAAGUGUAAAAAGCUUUUGGAAUAAGAGCUGGGCAAGACCGGUGCCAGCCGCCGCGGUAACACCGGCAGCUCUAGUGGUAGCUGUUUUUAUUGGGCCUAAAGCGUUCGUAGCCGGUUUGAUAAGUCACUGGUGAAAUCCUGUAGCUUAACUGUGGGAAUUGCUGGUGAUACUGUUGAACUUGAGGUCGGGAGAGGUUAGCGGUACUCCCAGGGUAGAGGUGAAAUUCUGUAAUCCUGGGAGGACCACCUGUGGCGAAGGCGGCUAACUGGAACGAACCUGACGGUGAGGGACGAAAGCUAGGGGCGCGAACCGGAUUAGAUACCCGGGUAGUCCUAGCCGUAAACGAUGCGGACUUGGUGUUGGGAUGGCUUUGAGCCGCUCCGGUGCCGAAGGGAAGCUGUUAGGUCCGCCGCCUGGGAAGUACGGUCGCAAGACUGAAACUUAAAGGAAUU
rnacentral:rRNA from 1 species